CGUAGGGGGCGAGCGUCGUCCGGAUUUAUUGGGCGUAAAGAGCGUGUAGGCGGCCUGGCAGGUCUGCUGUGAAAACUCGAGGCUCAACCUCGAGAUGUCGGCGGAAACCGUCUGGCUAGAGUCCGGAAGAGGAGAGUGGAAUUCCUGGUGUAGCGGUGAAAUGCGCAGAUAUCAGGAAGAACACCUAUGGCGAAGGCAGCUCUCUGGGACGGUACUGACGCUGAGACGCGAAAGCGUGGGGAGCGAACAGGAUUAGAUACCCUGGUAGUCCACGCCGUAAACGAUGGGUGCUAGGUGUGGGCGGUGUCGACUCCGUCCGUGCCGAAGCUAACGCAUUAAGCACCCCGCCUGGGGAGUACGGCCGCAAGGCUA
rnacentral:rRNA from 1 species